rnacentral:rRNA from 1 species
CGUAGGGUGCAAGCGUUAAUCGGAAUUACUGGGCGUAAAGCGUGCGCAGGCGGUUGUGCAAGACAGAUGUGAAAUCCCCGGGCUUAACCUGGGAAUUGCAUUUGUGACCGCACGGCUAGAGUGUGUCAGAGGGGGGUAGAAUUCCACGUGUAGCAGUGAAAUGCGUAGAUAUGUGGAGGAAUACCGAUGGCGAAGGCAGCCCCCUGGGAUAACACUGACGCUCAUGCACGAAAGCGUGGGGGAGCAAACAGGAUUAGAUACCCUGGUAGUCCACGGCCCUAAACGAUGUCUACUAGUUGUCGGGUCUUAAUUGACUUGGUAACGCAGCUAACGCGUGAAGUAGACCGCCUGGGGGAUACGGUCGCAAGACUUA